rnacentral:rRNA from 1 species
AAUGAACGUUGGCGGCGUGGAUUAGGCAUGCAAGUCGAGCGGAAAGGCCCGCAAGGGCACUCGAGCGGCGUAAGGGACAGUAAUGUGUAGGUACGUACCCCUGGGUCUAGGAUAGCUGCGGGAAACUGCAAUUAAUACUAGAUGAUGUCUCCGGACCAAAGGUGUGAUUCCACCCAGGGAGCGGCCUACAUCCUAUUAGCUAGUUGGUGAGGUGACGGCUCACCAAGGCGAAGAUGGGUAGCAGGUGUGAGAGCACGACCUGCGUCACUGGGACUGAGACACUGCCCAGACACCUACGGGUGGCUGCAGUCGAGAAUCUUCGGCAAUGGGCGAAAGUCUGACCGAGCGACG